rnacentral:rRNA from 1 species
CCAGACUCCUACGGGAGGCAGCAGUGGGGAAUAUUGCACAAUGGGCGCAAGCCUGAUGCAGCCAUGCCUCUUGUAUGAAGAAGUCCUUCGGGUUUUAAAGUACUUUCAGCUUUUAGGAAGGCUAUAAUGUUAAUAACCUUUUCGAUUGACUUUCCCCGCAGAAGAAUCCCCGGCUAACUCCUUUCCAGCAGCCGCUGUAAUACGGAUUGUUCAAGCGUUAAUCGGAAUUACUGGGCGUAAAGCGAACGCAGGCGGUCUGUCAAGUCGGAUGUGAAAUCCCCGGGCUAAACCUGGGAACUGCAUUCGAAACUGGCAGGCUGGAGUCUUGUAGAGGGGGGUAGAAUUCCAGGUGUAGCGGUGAAAUGCGUAGAGAUCGGGAGGAAUACCGGUGGCGAAGGCGGCCCCAUGGACAAAGACUGACGCUCAGGUGCGAAAGCGUGGGGAGCAAACAGGAUUAGAUACCCUGGUACG